rnacentral:rRNA from 1 species
UAGGGAAUCUUCGGCAAUGGGGGGCAACCCUGACCGAGCAACGCCGCGUGAGUGAAGAAGGUUUUCGGAUCGUAAAACUCUGUUGUUAGAGAAGAACACGAGUGAGAGUAACUGUUCAUUCGAUGACGGUAUCUAACCAGCAAGUCACGGCUAACUACGUGCCAG